rnacentral:rRNA from 1 species
UAGGGAAUCUUCCACAAUGGACGCAAGUCUGAUGGAGCAACGCCGCGUGAGUGAAGAAGGUUUUCGGACCGUAAAGCUCUGUUGUUGGUGAAGAAGGAUAGAGGUAGUAACUGGCCUUUAUUUGACGGUAAUCAACCAGAAAGUCACGGCUAACUACGUGCCAGCAGCCGCGGUAAUACGUAGGUGGCAAGCGUUGUCCGGAUUUAUUGGGCGUAAAGCGAGCGCAGGCGGAAGAAUAAGUCUGAUGUGAAAGCCCUCGGCUUAACCGAGGAAUUGCAUCGGAAACUGUUUUCUUGAGUGCAGAAGA